GUGUCUCUAUCAGAGUUUGAUCCUGGCUCAGGAUGAACGCUGGCGGCGUGCCUAACACAUGCAAGUCGAGCGAUUCACUUCGGUGAAGAGCGGCGGACGGGUGAGUAACGCGUGGGUAACCUGCCUCAUACACAUGGAUAACAUACCGAAAGGUAUGCUAAUACAGGAUAAUAUAAGAGAUUCACAUGUAUUUCUUAUCAAAGCUCCGGCGGUAUGAGAUGGACCCGCGUCUGAUUAGCUAGUUGGUAAGGUAACGGCUUACCAAGGCGACGAUCAGUAGCCGACCUGAGAGGGUGAUCGGCCACAUUGGAACUGAGACACGGUCCAA
rnacentral:rRNA from 1 species